GUCUCUUUCUUUGAAUCUUUCUGUCAGCAUUCUGUCGCGACCGAGACGUAAACUGUGGGAGGUGGAAGUCAUUAGGAUUGUGUGACCGCAAUCCUCAGAUGCCCAUUUACUGUGGAGUCACUUGUGACAUUUGUAAGGAGCCUACUCCAGACAAAUGCUUCGACAAGGCAGACAAUUGCGAGGACAUGAAGAAAGCUGGAUUUUGUAACUCAACAGUUCCCACUGUUGAGCACGAAGUGAAAACCAAUUGCCUUGAAACAUGCGAGUUUUGCGUUCCUGAAUUACCAUGAAGGCCAGUACAAAGGCUCUCUAAAACCAUCGUUCGUGUCACAAUAUUAAGCUGAAGAUGGAACACUACUUAAUUGCUUAUAUGUUAGCUGUUAUAGGUUACCGAUGUGAUCUGUAUUAGGUUAAAAAACAACCGUAAAUAAAACGAUAAACGGAGUUUAAUGUAGCGUGCAAUUCCAGCUACAGCUGUAGUCAGUAAAUGUAAGAGAUGGCUCUUUGCAGUGUAACUGCUUUAGAUUCAAUAAAGUGCUAAAGGUAAAA